UUCAGGCCUGCUGGCUUUCAGACUGGAAUUUAUACAAUGCUUUCCUGAUUCUCAGGCUUUAGGACUCAAACUAGAGCUUCACUAUUUGAUCUCUCCUGACAUCUUCUCAACCUCCAAAAUCAUGGUGACUAUAAUGGCUUGACUCCUGCAGGAACUAAUUGAUUAAGGAAGACAGCACAACAGCUGUAUAGUUGGCCAUAGUGCUGAGGAGGAAAAUGCUGGAAGAGACGAGAAGAAGAAUUUGGUCAGGAGAUGGAGAUUGUGCAGAACCUCCA